rnacentral:tRNA from 1 species
GCCCGGGUGGUGGAAUGGUAGACACGGCGGUCUUAGAAGCCGCUGCCGAAAGGUGUGAAGGUUCGAGUCCUUUCCCGGGCACCA